rnacentral:rRNA from 1 species
ACCUACGGGACGCAGCAGUGGGGGAUAUUGCACAAUGGGGGAAACCCUGAUGCAGCGACGCCGCGUGGGCGAAGAAGUAUUUCGGUAUGUAAAGCCCUAUCAGCAGGGAAGAAGAAACGACGGUACCUGAGUAAGAAGCACCGGCUAAAUACGUGCCAGCAGCCGCGGUAAUACGUAUGGUGCAAGCGUUAUCCGGAUUUACUGGGUGUAAAGGGAGCGCAGGCGGCACGGCAAGCCUGAUGUGAAAGCCCGCGGCCCAACCGCGGGACUGCAUUGGGAACUACCGGGCUGGAGUGCCGGAGAGG